CCUACGGGAGGCAGCAGUGGGGAAUAUUGCGCAAUGGGCGAAAGCCUGACGCAGCGACGCCGCGUGAGGGAUGAAGGUCUUCGGAUCGUAAACCUCUGUCAGCAGGGAAGAACGGUCACUGUGCUAAUCAGCAGUGAAUUGACGGUACCUGCAAAGGAAGCACCGGCUAACUCCGUGCCAGCAGCCGCGGUAAUACGGAGGGUGCGAGUGUUAAUCGGAAUUACUGGGCGUAAAGCGCUCGUAGGCGGUAUGUCAAGUCAAGGGUGAAAUCCCCGCGCUCAACGUGGGAACUGCCUUUGAAACUGGCAAACUGGAGUGUGUGAGAGGAUAGUGGAAUUCCAGGUGUAGGAGUGAAAGCCGUAGAUAUCUGGAGGAACAUCAGUGGCGAAGGCGACUAUCUGGCACAUAACUGACGCUGAGGAGCGAAAGCGUGGGUAGCAAACAGGAUUAGAUACCCUAGUAGUC
rnacentral:rRNA from 1 species